rnacentral:tRNA from 1 species
GAGGAUAUAGCUCAGUGGUAGAGCAUAUGUUUAGCAUGCAUGAGGUCCUGGGUUCAUUCUCCAGUACCUCCA